rnacentral:rRNA from 1 species
GACGAACGCUGGCGGCGUGCCUAAUACAUGCAAGUAGAACGCUGAAGCUUGGUGCUUGCACCGAGCGGAUGAGUUGCGAACGGGUGAGUAACGCGUAGGUAACCUGCCUGGUAGCGGGGGAUAACUAUUGGAAACGAUAGCUAAUACCGCAUAAGAGUAGAUGUUGCAUGACAUUUGCUUAAAAGGUGCAAUUGCAUCACUACCAGAUGGACCUGCGUUGUAUUAGCUAGUUGGUGAGGUAACGGCUCACCAAGGCAACGAUACAUAGCCGACCUGAGAGGGUGAUCGGCCACACUGGUACUGAGACACGGCCCAGACUCCUACGGGAGGCAGCAGUAGGGCAUCUUCGGCAAUGGACGGAAGUCUGACCGAGCAACGCCGCGUGAGUGAAGAAGGUUGUCGGAUCGUAAAGCUCUGUUGUAAGAGAAGAACGAGUGUGAGAGUGGAAAGUUCACACUGUGACGGUAUCUUACCAGAAAGGGACGGCUAACUACGUG